rnacentral:rRNA from 1 species
AUUGAACGCUGGCGGCAGGCCUAACACAUGCAAGUCGAACGAGUGGCGGACGGGUGAGUUAUGUCUGGGACACUGCCUGGUGGAGGGGUAUCACUACUGGAAACGGUAGCUAAUCCCGCAUCCCAUCAGAUGUGCCCAGAUGGGAUUCGCUAGUUGGUGGGGUAACGGCUCACCAAGGCGACGAUCCCUAGCUGGUCUGAGAGGAUGCCCAGCCACACUGGAACUGAGACACGGUCCAGACUCCUACGGGAGGCAGCAGUGGGGAAUAUUGCACAAUGGGCGCAAGCCUGAUGCAGCCAUGCCGCGUGUAUGAAGAAGGCCUUCGGGUUGUAAAGUACUUUCAGCGGGGAGGCGUUACCCGCAGAAGAAGCACCGGCUAACUCCGUGCCAGCAGCCGCGGUAAUUC